rnacentral:lncRNA from 1 species
CCUUGGCUAAAAGUGAUUAUUUCAUUUUUGCCUAAUUCUUGUUCAUGUGGUGCUAAAAGCUGUGCAUGCUGCAUUCGUCUUAUAAAUGGCAAUACUUGUCAAGUAAUGUUAGAUGGAAUGUUGCCAGAUGCUGAUUUCACUGUUCAUCAAUAGGCUUGCUGUAUGCUCCAUGUUCUUGGUUUCUUUGAAUCCUUUUCUCUGUUUUAACACUUUUUUAAUUGACGUUCUGUUGGCAGUUUGUGCCCUACAUUUGGUGGAAGUGAUCCUGGGGUACGUGCAGAAGUUGUCCAUUCACUGAAAGAGGAAUUGAAUUUGAUGUGUGGCCUCUCUUGCACAAGACAUCCAUCAGCUUUUACCGCGCUCUCUGUAAGCUCUCCUUGCCUAAACAUUUCUGAUUGGUUCUUUCUAGGACUCUAGUUUUGCUAUAACUGAGUCUCUACAUGGCAGAUUGGCCGGUCCAAGUGGAAUGGUCAAGUGGGCAGUUCUGGAGUGGUAAUCACCUUGGAAACACCUCUUAAUAACAUUGGAAGGCCAGCUUUAUCCGUUCAACUGAAUGGCGGCUUUGAGUUGUGAUGUCUUGGCUUCUGCGCUGAAGUUGUACAUACCAGUGUAUAUAUUGCCAUCACUAAUGUCCGUCCUCCAUAGUCAUUGAUCGGCUGCUGAGCUGGUCAACCUAGAAAGUUUGUGGAAUUGGGUUGCAAGCUUGCAGCUCGUUUUUGUCUCUACAAGUCUCAAGCCUCACUUGGCAAAUCAGCUGCUAGGUUCCCCACUAAAGAGACUUGCAUACUUAUUCGCAGUCCUCGAAGAGAUUGUGGUAUUUACAGUUGAGCUUGCAUCCUGCUGUGACCUGCUGCUUGUGGGCAGCUAUGCAGUCAUGGAAGACGACGUUCAAUCCAGAAGCUCAUUCUUUUAGUGAAGACAAACAACACCUGUCGCGUUUCAACAUUGUUGGU